rnacentral:rRNA from 1 species
GAUGAACGCUAGCUACAGGCUUAACACAUGCAAGUCGAGGGGCAGCAUGAACUUAGCUUGCUAAGUUUGAUGGCGACCGGCGCACGGGUGAGUAACACGUAUCCAACCUGCCGAUGACUCGGGGAUAGCCUUUCGAAAGAAAGAUUAAUACCCGAUGGCAUAGUUCUUCCGCAUGGUAGAACUAUUAAAGAAUUUCGGUAUGGGAUGGGGAUGCGUUCCAUUAGUUAGUUGGCGGGGUAACGGCCCACCAAGACAACGAUGGAUAGGGGUUCUGAGAGGAAGGUCCCCCACAUUGGAACUGAGACACGGUCCAA